rnacentral:lncRNA from 1 species
CAUUGGGUCGACUGUUAGCGGCGAUGGCCUUAGCCAUGUUGAAUCAAUGGCCUUAUCCAUGAUGAUGUUGAUGGCCUUAGCCAUGUAAUUGACUUCAACUGUCGUCGAGUCGUUCGUUUUGCCGUAGUCGACUAUGGGUCUACUGUUAGCGGCGAUGGCCUUAGCAGUGUUGAAUCAAUGGUCUUAGCCAUGAUGAUGUUGAUAGCCUUAUCAAUAAUGAUAUUGAUGGUCUUAGCCAUGUAAUUGACUUCGACUAUCGUCGAGUCUUUCACUUUGUCGUAGUCGACAUUGGGUCGACUGUUAGCAGCGGUGGCCUUAGCCAUGUAAUUGACUUCGACUGUCGUCGAGUCUUUCGUUUUGCCGUAGUCGACAUUAGGUUGGCUGUUAGCGGCGAUGGCCUUAGCCAUGUUGGAUCAAUGGCCUUAACCAUGAUGAUGUUGAUGGCCUUAGCCAUGUACUUA